CUACGUAGGGGGCAAGCGUUGUUCGGAAUUACUGGGCGUAAAGAGCUCGUAGGCGGCUCAGCAAGUCGGUCGUGAAAGCCCGAGGCUCAACCUCGGAACUGCGGUCGAUACUGCUGUGGCUAGAGUCCGGUAGAGGAGAGUGGAAUUCCCGGUGUAGCGGUGGAAUGCGCAGAUAUCGGGAGGAACACCAGUGGCGAAGGCGGCUCUCUGGGCCGGUACUGACGCUGAGGAGCGAAAGCGUGGGGAGCAAACAGGAUUAGAAACCCUAGUAGUCC
rnacentral:rRNA from 1 species